rnacentral:rRNA from 1 species
GUCCACGCUGUAAACGAUGAGUGCUAGAUAUCGGGAGAAUAUCUUUCGGUUUCGUAGCUAACGCAUUAAGCACUCCGCCUGGGGAGUACGGUCGCAAGAUUAAAACUCAAAGGAAUUGACGGGGGCUCGCACAAGCGGUGGAGCAUGCGGUUUAAUUCGAUGUUACGCGAAAAACCUUACCAACCCUUGACAUGGUGGUCGUAGGCUGCAGAGAUGUAGCCGUCAGCUCGGCUGGACCACACACAGGUGUUGCAUGGCUGUCGU